rnacentral:rRNA from 1 species
UACGUAGGGGGCAAGCGUUGUCCGGAAUCAUUGGGCGUAAAGAGCGUGUAGGCGGCCAAACAGGUCCACUGUGAAAACUCGAGGCUCAACCUCGAGAGGUCGGUGGAAACCGUCUGGCUAGAGUCCGGAAGAGGGAGAGUGGAAUUCCCGGUGUGAGCGGUGAAAUGCGCAGAUAUCGGGAAGAACACCCGUGGCGAAGGCGGCUCUCUGGGACGGUACUGACCGCAUGAGACGCGAAAGCGUGGGGAGCGAACAGG